UUUGAGAAGAGGAUAGAGCUACUUCUUUCUCUAAAUAUUAAUAACAUCAAUUAACAAGAAAGCAAAACUCGUAAAGUAAACAAAUCAAUCUGCCCUCUCUUACAAUAAAUAAAUAAAUAAAUAGAUAAAUCACUAGUUUCGAAUCACUUAACACCUGGUUCAAACGCUUCGAGUCAUGAGAUCACUGAGUAUUAAGGGGUGGGGGGAGCAGACGCCAACCAGUUCCUGUAUCGUCAACACUUACCUACACACCGCAGCUUCCUUUGUGGUGUGAGGGAAAACUGGUCAAGGGGAACAGAACGAGCAGAAAAAGCAAGGCCUACUUUGAUGCCAGUCUCCGUGCAGGUUCGAGAGAGUUACUUGGUGAGAUUGGUGGUGUUUUCUCAUCAAUUCUCCAGCUGGAAUGUCACACUUAUGGAAUGGUUGGAUAUAAAGAAGGGAGUGAGUUGUGAGUUGUACUUCCACUUCCUGCAGCACCAACUCACCGUGAAGAGUCCAGCAGCCUCCGAGAUGAGCCGUGUCUCCACUGGCUUGGUCUUGUUCUCCUCCUCGAAGCCUGGUGUCUGAGUGUCCGGCGGGUAACACACUGUCACUGUUAUCCCGUGUGGCUUCAGCUGGGAGACAGAUACAAUGCUCGACUAGCAAACAAACUCGGACUACAAGAAGAGGAUGCAAUGAAUAGAAACAGAUGGAAAAAAUUGCAAGACUCUACAACAUGUGGGAAUAAUAAUAAUAAUAUGAAGAUGCUCAACAAGCUAUACCAAGUAAUAGAGGCCAGUAGCACCUUCCCUCACCUCCAUGUGCAGGGCCUCAGCCAGCUUGACCACAGCAGCCUUGGCAGCAGAGUAGGCUGUGAACCCAUACAGGCCAACCAGUCCGCCCUGUGACGAGGUGAACACCACAGCACCUCCCUCAGCCCGCUGCUUCAUGCCCCGCACCACCUCCUGCGUCACUGUGAACGACCCCAUCAAGUUCACAUCAAUCAGCUCCUGCAAAGGUAAGGAAGCCAUCAAUGGUGGUGAAAAUCCUUCUGUCUCAAAUUUUUACUCUUUCCAGCAGUCUCUCAGCAUUCAUUAUCAGUAGUCUUUUAAAUUCUUGUAUCCUUAACCCCUUCAAUACUGAGAUGUAUUUUUACCAUGAUUUUUGGGUAUGGUUAGAUGAUUUUAUUUGCAUUAGGAAGGGUCUAUGGGGCUCAAAAGAUUAAUGGCCAAAGUCUUAACAGUUCAAUCACCACAUUAGUUUUAUAAAAUCAUCAAAUAAUAACCAGAAUGAAUAUGUGGUAUGGUACUGAAGGGGUUAAGUGUAGUAUAUUCUAUUCAUCCAGUUUUUUGAGUCAAUCUUAUUUUGUGCCAUGAUGAGGGAACAGUCGGGUCUUUACAUCAUUUUGAGAUCUACAGCAAAAUACAAGAAAAAACAUCUGCACUCACCUUGACAAGGCUCUGUGGGAUGUCCUCAAAUACCUGAGCUCUGGCAAACCCGGCACAGUUGACCAGCAUGUACACUGGCCCCUGACUUGCUUCGGCCUCCUUGAUGGCCGUGGCAAUGUUCUCUCGUCUCCCAGCCAAGUCCACUG